AGGCUUCCCAGGAAGAAUGAAGCAGUCAACUUGCAUAAGGCCUGUCUUGACUUCUCUCCUUUGGGGGAAGAGGAUCACAUUAAGAAGGGUGGCAGGCUUGCCUGGACACAGAAUUCCACUACCAAACAGACAUCAUUUCUGAGAACUUCAGAGUUUAUGAUCCAGGUUUCCCAGUGAUUAAAUUACUCCUUGGAAGGCCAAGUGGCAUCAGAGCUGAGUGAUGGACGACCUGCAGUCCCAGAACCUCUCCAUGGACAUGACUGACUCCCCUCCUGCCUUGGCUAAUAACAGACUGGAGAAUGGCAUGGCUCAGCUGAUCACCACCGAGGCCUGGAACAUCAACUCCACUGACCUGCCCCUGUGCCUCGGGGAGAGCCCAGUGGUGAUGCCCAUUCACAUGCAGGUGGAGGGAAGCUCCGCACCAGAGCUCAAUCCGAAUGGCAAUGCCACCUACGUCAUGACCAC
rnacentral:lncRNA from 1 species